AUACUGUUAAGAAAGAUUGAGUUUUCCUUUGGUGGGUGAGGGGGAGAGGAAGUGGUACCUGGAACUCCAUUCUGAGAGCAAGCCCAGGACCUUGGCCAGGAAAGGACUCUAAAUAGAUAAGCAUUAGCAGCAGAGAUGCCUGAGUUAAAUUUUAGGUUGUGUUGUAUAAUCCUUUUUCAAAUUUUCUGAACCUUCAGUGUUAGUCUCAUACAAUGCGGAUUUACACGGACAGUUCUAGGAAAGGGAAGAGGCAAGAACAGUGAAUAUGUGAUGGUCAGAGGGUUGUGAAGGGUGGACGAGAGGGGCAGAGCAGUUUAGGAGGAACCUGGAUCAGGGGGUUGGGGAGAGAGGUGACUGCCAGGCCCCCCGGGGAAGCAUCCUGUAGCUAUUCUUCUGAAAUACUGAGUGGGCACUUCUGCAAUUCCAAAAAUUAUAUCUGGAUCCUAAAGGAAAGAAGGGCCCCAAAGCCUGAAGGAUUGAGGUAAUAUGUCAUUACAAUAGAAAGUAAUAAGGGAAACAAAGGAGGGGAUGGAUUUUGUGACCAUUGUAUGGGAAGGUGCUGGGGCAUUAGAACUGGAUGAGGGAAGUAGUAUUUUAUCAGAACAGUCCCUGCAAAAUGAUUAAGAAGCCUACAUGAUAAUUUGAACAGGGUUUGAAAAGGGCAAAAUGUAAACUCUGUCUUGAGAGAAGUAAACUUUCUUUUAUAAGGCUGAAAUGUGGCAAGGUAAGCUAUGAUCCCUUACAAUUUGUAUUAGGAUCUUAUAGGAAAAGGACAAGUAUUUCAAUGGACUUGACCUCCCAAAGUAGCAGAAUCACUUGAUUUUUCCCUUGCUUGUUCAUCCCCUGAUUAGACUAGUUCAAAACCUGAACUUAGCUGUGCAUUUCUUUUUCAGUGAAAUUUUUGUCCAUUAGAAACCUAAAAUAAGUGACUUAUUUAUUCUUACGUUAUUACCCAAUCCAUUUUUCAGCUCACACUCAACUUCUGUUCGACAUGGAGCUGGGGAAUGGCUUAGAAAAAAACAUGGGAUUGAGACUUUUUCACAUGACUUUUCCAAAAGGGGUUUCUGCAUUCAGUCAGGGAGGCUUCCACUCUGAGAACUGACUUAACUGAACGUUUAAAUAUGCUUUGCAAGAUCUUGGAUAGGGAAUUCAUGAUAGUUUCUGCAAAUAAUUUAUAGAGUGGUUCUAUUUUUCCCUGGGAGAUGAAAACACAGUGCCUUUUUUGGAAAAAGUUUGGAGAAUUCCAGGAAAACACCGGAGUAAGGUUUCGAUGUGGCUUUAACGUCAUAUUGACUGGAUAGGCUUUGGUUUGGAACUCUGUCUUAGAAAGGAGGACAUAGAAUUUUGGCAAGAAGGCUAUUUUAAUAAAUAAUCUUUAAAGGUCAGAGACCCAUUAUUAAACGUAUAAGAUAGGUUAAAGUCAUUGCUUCUGUUUCAUCCAUAAAAUCUUAUGUUUGCAUAGUAUGAAAAACAGUACUGACCACCCCAUCCAAAAUCAACUAAAGUAGAAGCAUAAAAAUACUUCCUUAUGCCCAACAAUAAGGUAUUCUUUUAUGUGAAGUGUCUCUGGGCUGGAAAGCAGAAGUGAGAUCUCAGCAUUCUGAGGUAUGUUUUUCUCGUAUUGACAUGGUUUUGAACAUGACAUUGUAAAGCCUCUGUUGAGUUCAGGACUCUUUAUCUGAGCUUGUCAGCAUUGCCUUCUCUCUCUCUCUCUUUUUCUUUUUUUAAAAUAAUUUGAAUGCAAAGGUAGAGCACACAUUUCGAUGUUUGGGAUUAUAUAAACGUGGGAUUAAAUUCUACUACUAUUACACAACUUCUACUAACUGAAUCAAUAACCAUAAAAGACUUCCACAUGUUAGCCUGAUGGACUAAAACAAAGGGGAUAAAUUUUAGUAAGAAAUGAGUAUAGAUCUCAGGUUAAAAAAAGAUCAACUGACUGGAGAUGACUGGCUUAAUAGAAGUUCAUGUGAAAAGUCUCAUGAGUUUUAUCACCAGGAAGCUCAGUGGGAGUCCAGUGUCACAUGACAAGCAUGUUCUUGGAGUGUGUUCGUGGAGGUAGAGUCCUCCUAUUAAGGGUAGUCCUAUAUUUUAACCCUGGCCAAACUUAUACUGAUUUCCUUAUCUCUGAAAGGGUCCGAGACAAAACUGAGCAACUGUGUCAUAUAGGAAACUGUUGGAGGAAUUGCAGGAACCAUGAUUUAGCCCAAAGUGGAAAAGCUCAGGAGGAGGCCUGAGUGAUUGCUGUGUGGAAAUACUUGUCUGAAGGGUUGAGGUUUUCCCUGAAUUCCAGUGUCUAGCACUGGAGUAAGACCAGGAUCAAUAUCUGGAGAUUUCAGGGAAAUCCUCUGGAGGUUGAUAUAAAGAAAAAUUUUCUGAUGAAUAAAAUUUGUUCAAAAGUGAAAUGGAUUGGCAUGGGAGGAGGAGAGUCCCCUGACCCUGAAAAAUGAGGCCAGAUAUCAACUUUCUGACUGAGGAGGUUGUGGGGGAGGUUGAAGUGUGAAGUGGUGCUAGAUGGCCCUUCAGAUUCCAUCCAUUGCUGAGUAGGCAAAUUUGUCCCUGGGGCUGUCUUGUCUCCCCUUUAUCCCAGCUGUAACUCUGGGAAAAACAGGAUCACCUGCUUCCCAUUACAAUAUUAAUGACUUAUAAGGCUUGAGGUCUUGAGAAAUUUAUACUUCAGUAAUUUUCCACUGAUAGGCAUGUUUCUAUUCAUGAAGACCACACUGGCUUUAGCCUGCAAACAAAGGACGUCACAAGAGUGCGAGAUUUUCAUGUGCAAGAAUUAGCUCCUGCAGGGACAUUUGGGAAGCGGUCAACUUGCACCUCUUAAAUGAAAACAUAGAAUCUCGUCUCUAUACCCUAUGGAAGCAGGAAAUUGGGAGUGAUGCAUCCUCAUCUGCCUGUUCUGGACAGUGUGCUGGUCUGUUUCCCCUGGGCAACAGCAGUCAUUACCUAAUGGAUAUUGGAGAAAUGAGCCCUUACUGUCUCCUGUUCUUUUGCAUUGCUGUGGGAUUAAAAGAUCAAUAAGAAUAGUAGCUGUGAUCUUGGUAUUUGAUGAGAAUCUUUUAGCCACCUUCCUACUCUAAGUCACUUUAUCAUUGCAUUAGAAAUGGGUGAUAAGGAUGGAGCAUUUGAAUAUGGCUGCAAUCCUAAACCCUCGGCUCACUCGCCUCUCUCUUCUCUUUCCCAUCCAGCAAGCAGGGUGGAACAGGGAGGGUGUCUGCCCUGCAAGAAGACUGGAUACCAAAUACUUGCAUGGUGAAGAGCCACCAUCCUGGGAGAUGGGGGAAGGGCCUGGAAAGGAGAGGAGAACUGAGGGAUAUUUUUCUCUCCCAUCCAAGAGCCUCCUAGGGACCCCUUCCUGAACCCGGCAUCCUUCCUGCUGGUCUCUUUGCAGAGAUAUGCAGGGCCCUAUGGAGUUCCUGAGGAAUCCUGCAGCUGCUGGGGGCUCGUCGGAGAUGGGCAGUGUGUCUCCCUGUCCUUGUUAGUCCCAUAAAUGGCCCAUUGAGGGGAGCAGGAGAAGGGAGAGGCAUCCAGGGCUGGCCCCGGGGUCCCUCAAUGGGGGCACUGUUCAGGCUUGGGUGGAAGCCAGCCCUGACACCAUGCUAGUUGUUAAAGCCUCAUUCUUCCCAAGGAGGCGGCUGGAAAGGCAGCAGAGCAGCUGAGGCUCCAGAAAAGGUACUUCUCUUGUUCUUCGCAAGGCUGGACUGGCACAUGAGAGGAAGCCACUUCCUCUUCAAUUAUUUUCUGUUGUCCAUUGCAUUUACAUCUCAAGCAUUUUCCCUCUUCCUUCUUACUACUCAAGAUCCCACAUUGAUGGGUUUUUCCCUUAUUCUCCCCAGUCUCAACGGAAACUUAGAAAUGAUGUCAAAUUUUCCUGUUUUGUACUGGUCCCCUUGGGCAGCCCAUCAGGGAAGCACCUUGAGAGUGGCUCCUAUUUGGCAAUUGCUCUUGAGCCCCUGAAUAGUUCAAAAUCUCAUUCAAAAUGAAGAGUGUGGCUUUGGAAAUAGCAAAAUACUAGAUGUCCACUGCAGGAAACAUGAUGUUUUUCUUGCCCACCUUCCAUACUCCUCUUUCUCAUAAUACCACCUGGAUUUCCCUUUAAGGGCCAAGCCUGCCACACUCAGCCUAUGGGUGUUGAUGGGAUUGACUUGACCACGAGGCCCUUGGUUUCAGGAUGGCAUAGCACUCUGGCCAGCAUCUUCUAUCCUCCUGGCUUUGGGUAGGGGCAGUUAGGACCCAGACUGGGCCACAUCAGAGUCAAUCUUGAGCAAGAAAGAUUUGGAGUAGGUAUGGGGGCAGACACUCCCUAUUUUCACUGAGGUUGCUGACUAUGUAGAGUCUAAGUUGGGAGCUGUGGUGAUCACCUUUGUUUCCACAUGGGAAGAAUUACUGUGAGGAUAUAGGCCACAGAGGAAAACCAGGCCAAAGUGACAGAUCCUUGAUGAUAUAGGAUGUAGGCUGGAUCCAGCUAUGCCUAAAGCCAGCACCCUGGUCUUUCAGUUAUACUGGUCAGAAUGUUCACUUUUAUUCCUUCAUCUCACUUGAGUUGAGUUUCUGUUCACUGGUUUCUAUUAGCAUGAUUCAUUUAGUUGCCACCAAAAGAGUCCUAAAAAUGCUGACCUUUUCUACUUCCUAUUCACUGCUCAGGCCACCCUUAUUCAGUUAUUUGCUACAGUAUUUUGCAGUUGCCCCAAACUGUACCAGAGCUAACAUGCACUAACAUUAUCAAAAAUUUCAGCCUAGAUGGAAACGGGAAGACUCACUCAGUUCUUCUCUGAGUGGAGGGGAUAACAGGUACCCCUGGAGUCCCCAUGUGCAUCUUGAAUCUGUGGUAAGAGCCCCAGCUUUACCCAUUCAUUCAGCAAUCAUUAAUUCUGUGUGUAUCACAUGCUAUGGGACUGCCUCAAACAGCUCACAGUCAAGGAGAGGGACUGGUGGCAUGAGGGCAAAGAAGUAGGAUAGUCUCCAUGAUGAGACUCUAUAUCCACUUCCAUGGGGGGCGCUAGGAAGCAAGUGGCCAGAUCUUAUCUUCAAAGGGGGGAGAAAGACUUCAAGGAAGAGGUGAUGGCUUGAGCUGUAUCUUCAAAGAUGUAUUGAGGUUUUUCAGCUUAAAAAAAAAAAGUAUAGGAAAGGCAUGCAGUUUGACCUGGGAGAGAAAUGUCAACUGUAAACUGUUGUCUGACUUAAAAACCCUCCCCCUGCAGGAUGGAGAAGGCAGUUUGACCUUCUGUGUUUAGCACACGCCUGACUGCUGUGUUAUGCUGGGUAGGACACAGAAAUCUGUGGCCACAUUCAUCCCCUCCUUUCACCCUUUCCAAAAUUCAGAAAACAUGUGUAAAGUUCUCUGGCUGGCAAGCAAUGCCAUAUAGAUGUUAGAGUGACUUGUGGUGGGUAAACUCAACAUUCUAUGUCCAAUCUCCAGGUUUGUGGGUGUGAGUCAGUGGCAAGGAUAUGGCAGUAGCAGCAACAGCAGCAUCUGCCCUAUUUUCACAUCAAAGUUAAAACUGUAUACUCCUCAAAUAAAUGGUCCAGUGGUGGUCCCCUGACUUCCUUGUUUUGUAAGCAGCUCCAUUCCCUACACUAAAUCUCUUUCAGUUAGACAUCCCUUGAGUAGGUUUCCUUGUCUACACUGAACUCUGACUGAAGCCAUUCCCCAAUGUGAGGUCUGGAAGGGCCAAGACCUGCUUUUCUCAUUCUCCACUGCAUCCCUAGUACUGAGCACAAGGUGUGGCAGUAGUGGGUUCUCAGUAAAGAGUUUUUGAGCAUGUGUUUUAAAAGUUGCAAUAUGGGUGUGGAGGCACGUAUGUAUAUAUGAAUAGUUAAGCAAUUCAGAAGAUGCCAUAAGGCUGUACACCAUUGAGAGCCACCUUUUUAGCAAUGAGUAUUAUGUUGUCAUAGGCCAGUAGUUACCCUGGUCUCCAGUGUCCAUGGAAGAUUUGAUGGAGAUGUAUUGAUGGGAGGGGACUGGAUUCAGAAGAAUGAGUAUACACUGGAUAAGAAAAAAAAAGAGUGCAGUACUUUAGAACCAGUGCUUAGUGUUAAUAUCACUGCACACUGACGACUUACGUGCACACGCUCCUGAAAUGAAGACUAAGUUCCCUUUGAAAUACAUGUGGACUUAAAAGUGAAGGGAAAAGGUCUUGGCAUUAUGUUCUUGGGUUUUGCCAAACCCUAAUGUUGUGUUUGGAGCCCUUUUCUGCCCUGUAGGCCACAAGAAUUCCCCUGUUCCCAUCCCAUACCCACAUCAAGCGUGUUUCUGAAUCUUCUGGGAAGCCACACACUGAGCAGUCAGAUAUCUGAUCCUACUUCAGAACAAGCAAGGCAAGAUCUAAGUUCAACCAGCAGAAAUUUCCAUUGGGAGCCUUUGCCCAGGAUGUUGGCUGAUAGCCUCUGGUCCUCCUGAGUUCCAGAAUUGGGUGAAAGGCACAUUCAGCAGUCUUUUCCUGUAUGAUGGCCUGAGUAUAAUACCUCAUGAUGGGAGGAAGAACACCAAGAAGGUCUUCAAGGAGAGGCCUGGACAAUGAAAAAAAAAUGCAAUCCGUAGAAGCCACUGUGACCUUGACCAGGGAUGAGUCUUGCUCUGAAAACCACUGACCUCGGGGGCUUUGGGGAUGGAAGUUGAUGAUCCUUGAGAGAGGAAGUUGUUAUUUUUAUUCCCAUUCCAUGCUGGUUUUACUGGAUGCCACUUCUUCCUGAAAUGCCCUGAAAAGGCAGGAAAAUUUGAUAGAUGCUGUGAGAAUGAGCCAUUUGGAGCCCUGGCAAAAUCCUGCAUUUGAUCCUUGGCCUUUCCUGUUCAGAAGCUGACUUCCCAGUCUGGGUAUCACCCUUCACUUCUGUUUUUCCCCCCAGGUAUCUGACCUUUGGACAUUUUGCAUCUCAGGCUCACUUCUACUGGAGGAAAAAGCAAAGAACCUUCAGGCCACAGCCUUUAUCAUCACUGUUUGCCACUGAUGCUAGCAGGCAGGCUUGGCCCUCUUUCCCAACCUGGGUCACGAGCAGAGCAGUUCAUGAAGUUCUUGUUCAGAAUCCUGAUUACAGAUGAUAAUCUCUGUGAACCUCCUUGAAGGAGAGCCACUUCUGCUGGGAAGGACAUGAUGAGAUGUGGAAAAUCAACCCAAGUAUACUGAAGAAGAAGGGUUACAGUGUACUUAAAUAGAUCUUUCAAACUCAGGUGGAGUGGUUUGGCUGGACCCAGCCUGGCUCUGUUCUGCCACAAUGGACACAGCAGUUUUGAAGCAAAACUAUUUACCAAGUGCAGAGAGUCACGCCUCACCAGAGGGAACCUCACCAAGUCUCCUUGUACAGUUCUUCCUGGAUGUCUUCUUUAGCAAGGUUACACCUGGCACACAGACCCUGUCAGCUACUCACUGCAUUCCUUACAAACCCAAACCCACCGAGGAUCAGAGCGGUAAGAUGACUGGCCACUAUCCAGAACUAAACAAUGGAGACAAUUAUUAUGCAGCCAUUAAUCUUUUCAAUUACAUAUUAACCCAGCCAGUGUGUAAAUGGCACCAUACGCUACCAUUUUUUUCCUUCUCUUUCUCUGCCUUUUUCUCCCCAGAAAAUAAAAAAAGGACCACACUCUACCAUUUUCUCAACAUCAUUCCUGCUUCCACUUUUCCAUUUAUGGAAACAAUCAUACCCAUAUGGAAAUUCCUUUAACAUGAGUAUUGAUUUUAUCUUUCAUUUUUUGGUGAUUUCUAAUGCAUUCAACAUUCUAGUGAUGCAGAGGAAAAAAAACUGAUGUUUUUCUCUUUUUCAAAAAACAAAUCUAUAGUUCCUUCUUCAUUUUCAGUGCUCUGUUGAAAGGAUCAUAUUAAUAUAAAAUAUCCUGAUUAGGUAGUACAAUGAUCAGUAAUGCAGGUGUACUACAUGUUUUGAACUCUUUCUAAUAUGCCUGUUUAUAAGUAAUUAUUUCCCAUUUAUGUUUGUCUAGGUAGUUGUCACCCAAAGACAUCCUUGUCCAUUUGAAAACCAAUAGCAGUUCCCUUUGUAGUUAAAGCUGAUUAAAGAAAAAAAAAAAGUGAGGGACAGUUCCGGAAGCAAUUAAACAUAGCAUUGUUCAGGACAGAGGGUUAAGGGGGUCAGAAUUUUUCUUCAUUGCUUCUAGCCUUUCUUUUUCUCCUUCAGUGCCCUAGACCCCUCCUUUCCCUCCUCCUUUUCCAAAACCAGGUCUAGGAAUGACCCAUGUCAGUCAUUUAUCCCUUUAGGUGUAUUAAUGGGUUCAGAGAAUGUUUAGUCUUGCUAUAUUUACCCUGAAAACCUUAUCUUUAAUUAUGGAAUGAAAAGAAUUUCAGGUAUCAAAUCACAACUCAAAGUUCAAGUUUUCAAGUUCUAUUCACACAGAGGUCUGAAAACAUUUUUUUAUUGGAAGAAUAGCAGGUUUUAGCAGACUCUCUUCCCAGACUCCAGAGAUGAUUCUCUCUUUUCUCCUCUUUGUGGAGCCACCCUUGGAGGAGAAGGUAUGAAGCUGGAGUGGGCAGGACAAGUAGCACAGAGACAUUUCUAACAUGUUGCUUGGUAAGGUGUUUGAGAAUUCUUCCAGUGAACCCUAAUAAAGGUCAGUGAAUCAGGAAUGUGAAAAAGAUGAGUCAAAAUAGGACAUUGACCCCUCUUCUUCCUUGAAAUGUAGCAGGAAAUUCUCCAGGAGACAUCAGUGUUCAGGGCAGCCCCGCUACCUCAUUUUGGAGGGAAAACCUGGAAUGAGGUUUUGCUUAUUUAAAUUACCACAUUGUUUCCAGAGAGUUGGGAACAUUUUCAUGUUUCUGGGCAUGGAUCUGCAAGCUCACUUUCUCAGAUUUGGUCAUACAUAUAGGGUAAGACAGUG